CCUCAGCUGUUCUGUGAGCUCUUCCAGGUCAGAGAUUCACAGUCCCACCAUCCUUGCAAUCCUGAAGAUGAGUCCGGGACCAUCCAUCCGGUCCACAAGGGCUUGACAAAUAACUAAUGAUGUUUUGCCAAAGGAGGCUGCAACAGAGCCCUCAAAUACAUGUGACAAGAACUUCACUGAUGGAAACAAAAUGUUUCUCCAUUGAGAGAAAUUACCUGUAGAGCAGCUAACCUAAGAGCUAGAGUCACAGUGACACAUCACCUGAGAAGCUGGGAAGACUGCAGACUGAAGGCCCUCACCAUCUGCUCUCACAUCUGAAAGGAAACCCAUUGGACAGAAUCCAAAGUCAACAGAUCAAGAAGUAACUGGAUGAACACGGCAGUCAAGAUAUGGCAGUAACUGUCAAAAGAAAAAGGUGAACAGGAGUUGCCUCUGGGAAGUAGGUUGGGGAUAUGGAAGAGUAUGUUAGAGUCAAGUUUUUUCCUUUUUUGCUGUUUUUUUUAAGCACACAUUAAGUGCCCUGAGGAGAUCCAGAUCCUUCCCUCUACUUGUGCCCAAGUGGCUCCUUGGUGCUGAGGUCCUUAUGAGGGAGCACAGCUGCCUGCUGACUUACCUCCUGCUUAGCGGUUCUUGGAUCUGUGGGAACAGUGCACCUUCUAACCAUCGACCUGGACUUUCUUGGCAACGAGCUCCUUGUGUGGGAUCCACAUUCUGGGCAAACUGCCCACAGCAUAUCUUGGACAAGGAGGAGCGAGACGGCCAAAAGAGGCCAGCGCACACUGCUUCUCUCCUGUUAGGAUGGUGGAGAAGGCUUGGCCAGGCUGCAGAUUCUACAAAGGAACAUUAAUUUUGAGGAUCCAGAGAGAUUCUCUCUCCCUGAGAUUCACUCUUGUGUGUGCCUGGGUUGUGACUCACCCUGAAGAGGUUGUGAAUUGGAGCAGCACCAAUGCAUGAGCAAAGUCACGUGACACUGUCUCCCAGGGUGACACAUCAGUCCCUGCUUCCUGCUGGUCCUGGGACAGAACUCAUUUGUUCUGAAGCCUGGGAAGUCCAAGGUCAAGGUGCUGGAUGAUUUGCUUUCUGGCGUGGGUCUUCUUCCUGACUAGCAGAAGGCCUCUUUCUCCCUCUGUCCUCAUGUAGCCUUUCCCAGGUCCCAGAACAAGGGAAGCCUGCCCCUCAUCAACUUGCUGCUGGAGUGUGGAAAUGGUCUGGAGAAGGGCUCAAGGUGGCUGAUUUGUAUCACUCUGUUCAAGUGCUUGUCUGUCUGGUCUACCUUGUUCUCAAACACACCACCAGGCAAUGCAAACCACACCUAGGUGACAGUGGACAUCAAGUGUGGAUGAGAAGGACAAUGACUCCACAAGGCAUCGUUUUAAGCACUUGAUCAAUUUUUCAAUAUCCCCAGCUGAAUCUACAGUGCAGUCAAGUCAGCACCACCUGGACCUGGGCUACUCAGACCUGAAGUCUUGGGUUGCAGCAGCCUUCUGGGGCCCAGGAGGAUGGUAGAUCUGCAGCCCUGACUGUACCAAGCUGCUGAGCCUGCACCAUCCACCUCCAGCAUCUUUAGCUGAACAACUGCUAUCCUCUCGUAGCUCGCACAGGGACAGCUAAUGCAGUCCUCCUCUCAUAGGCUGGCAUCACGUCAGAAUAAUAAACCCCUGUUCCCUGGUUUUCUGUUAUUGUUGCUGUUUCAGUUUGUGAAACUGAAUAAAAGAACCCUCAUUUAAAAUAGAGCUGAGAGAAAGGCAACUUACCGAAUGGGAGAAGAUAUUUGCA